UACGGAGGGAGCUAGCGUUGUUCGGAAUUACUGGGCGUAAAGCGCACGUAGGCGGCUUUGUAAGUUAGAGGUGAAAGCCCGGGGCUCAACUCCGGAACUGCCUUUAAGACUGCAUCGCUUGAAUCCGGGAGAGGUGAGUGGAAUUCCGAGUGUAGAGGUGAAAUUCGUAGAUAUUGGGAAGAACACCGGUGGCGAAGGCGGCGCUCUGGACCGAGACUGACGCUGAGGCGCGAAAGCGUGGGGAGCAAACAGG
rnacentral:rRNA from 1 species